CUGGUUCACGGUGGUUCAGCGCUGUCAGCAGUUUCCAUGUGCAGCAGAAACCAGCAUCGGAACCUCGCGUAAAACAUACAAAGCUCAAAUGUGUGAGAACAAGAGAGGUGAGGACAGCAACAGCUUUUGGAUACUGGAAAAAGAUGUUAAUGACUGACAUGUGACAUCGGAGGCCAGCUUUUCCUGUGCUUUGAAGUAGAAGGUAAGAGCUCUCAGCUCAUAGUGAGAUAUGCUGGGAAUUCCAUCCAUCCACAUGGCAGAUUCCUUAAAUGGCUCAAAACUGGCACUCUCAGGUAUCUCACAAGAGAGUAUAAAAAGGGAUAAAGAAAAGAAAGCAAAUCUUGUGACUGUGACAAAUGGCGUUUUAUAAAAGAUAAGCGAAGAUCACAAUUUUAAGCUGAAUAAUGAAUACUCCUGGGUUCGAAAAGCAGAUACUCCAAAUUGAGACAGACACAGAAUGGAGGAAGACAGAGACUACAGGGAAACCUCAAAGAGAUGUCGCAAUGGUUUGCUGUCAUAAUUACACACAGAGGCAAAACUGCAUCCAGGAAGCAGUGUGUCCAUCUGAGUGGGUCCAUGUGGAAAUGGAUGUUUGCCCAGAGAGGCUACGAAGGCAAAGGCGAUUCAGUUGCUGCUGUUCAUUUCUGCUCACCUGGACACAGAAGCAGUCAGCAAAGAUUGCGACCAGAGCUGCUUUACAGAGAGCAAAGGAGAUGCUGCCGAGUUUCACUGCAAGGACAGAGACAGAUGCAGCUUGGAGCAGGGGCUGUGUCAGGCUCUCUCAGUACCGUGCACCUGCCCAGCCAUCCCCAGGGGGCUGGAUGUUCCCAGGAGUGUCAGCCACGGAGCUAAUGAAAGGAAUUAUCCAUUUAUAUCUCUUAGCCUCUGUAUUCCUGUGCAGAAGGAGCGAGACCUUUUGUGAUGCAUUUGCCCUUGGGAGUGAUGGUCAGUUCCACUCCUGGCCUGGUUGUCAUGGUACCCAGAGCUCACAGAGGCAUCCAGACACACAAUAUUCGGGUCUGCUGUCCCUGACUGCUUCACUUUGGACAAAGUAA
rnacentral:lncRNA from 1 species